rnacentral:rRNA from 1 species
AACGAACGCUGGCGGCAUGCCUAACACAAGCAAGUCGAACGAGACCUUCGGGUCUAGUGGCGCACGGGUGCGUAACGCGUGGGAAUCUGCCCUUGGGUUCGGAAUAACAGUUAGAAAUGACUGCUAAUACCGAAUGAUGUCUUCGGACCAAAGAUUUAUCGGUUCUGGAUGAGCCCGCGUUGGAUUAGCUAGUUGGUGAGGUAACGGCUCACCAAGGCGACGAUCCAUAGCUGGUCUGAGAGGAUGAUCAGCCACACUGGGACUGAGACACGGCCCAGACUCCUACGGGAGGCAGCAGUGGGGAAUAUUGGACAAUGGGCGAAAGCCUGAUCCAGCCAUGCCGCGUGAGUGAUGAAGGCCUUAGGGUUGUAAAGCUCUUUCAGUAGGGAAGAUAAUGACGGUACCUACAGAAGAAGCCCCGGCUAACUUCGUGCCAGCCGCCGCGGUAACAC